CAACGCCGGUUUGAUCUCAAAGUUUGCUGCUUGAAUAUUUGGCAUAGCAAUGCCAGUAGGCACACCACUCGGAGAGGGCUGCGAAUAAUUCUUCAAAGAUUUAACAGGAAGAUCACCCAUUUUAAUCUUUGACUGCUGCUUCCCCUUCUUUUGUCGAUCAAGGUAUUGUUGUAAAGUAGUGUCAAAAUCAGGAUCAAUAGGAGUUGAUUCCGCGUCUCCUGUAGACCUGGGCAUGAACAACUAAACAAGGAAA
rnacentral:lncRNA from 1 species